AAAUUUUGACAAUUAACUCAGAAAAGUUUUUUGUAACAAAAGAGCCCCCAGGAAGAAACACUUAUUUACAGACAAAUCUGUGCUGCCCUGGUCUGACCUGGGAUGCUGGGGACACUACCCCUGUGCUGAGUUACUGAGAUCUGCCAGCCAUGCAGCUGGGCCCAGCCUGCCCCAUCCCCUGCUGAUUUGCAUGUUCCCAGAACACAGCCCCCCUGCCCUGAAGACGUCUUAAUAGGCUAGUCACACCCUGUGCAGGAGUCAGUCCCAGUCAGGACACAGCAUGGACAUGAGGGUCCCCACUCAGCUCCUGGGGCUCCUGCUGCUCUGGCUCCCAGGUGCCAGAUGUGACAUCCAGAUGACCCAGUCUCCAUCCUCCCUCUCUGCAUCUGUAGGAGACAGAGUUACCAUCGCUUGCCGGGCGAGUCAGGGCAUUAGCAAUUAUUUAGCCUGGUAUCAGCAGAAACUGGGGGAAACUCCUAAGCUCCUGAUCUAUGCUGCAUCCGGUUUGCAAAGUGGGAUUCCCUCUCGGUUCAGUGGCAGUGGAUCUGGGACAGAUUUCACUCUCACCAUCAGCAGCCUGCAGCCUGAAGAUAUUGCAACAUAUUACUGUCAACACUAUGAUAAUUUCCCUCCCACAGUGUUACAAGUCAUAACAUAA